rnacentral:rRNA from 1 species
AUUGAACGCUGGCGGAAUGCUUUACACAUGCAAGUCGAACGGCAGCACGGACUUCGGUCUGGUGGCGAGUGGCGAACGGGUGAGUAAUACAUCGGAACGUGCCCAGUCGUGGGGGAUAACGUAGCGAAAGCUACGCUAAUACCGCAUACGAUCUAAGGAUGAAAGCGGGGGAUCGCAAGACCUCGCGCGAUUGGAGCGGCCGAUGGCAGAUUAGGUAGUUGGUAGGGUAAAGGCCUACCAAGCCGACGAUCUGUAGCUGGUCUGAGAGGAUGAUCAGCCACACUGGGACUGAGACACGGCCCAGACUCCUACGGGAGGCAGCAGUGGGGAAUUUUGGACAAUGGGCGCAAGCCUGAUCCAGCCAUUCCGCGUGCAGGAUGAAGGCCUUCGGGUUGUAAACUGCUUUUGUACAGAACGAAAAGGCUCUGGUUAAUACCCGGGGCUCAUGACGGUACUGUAAGAAUAAGCACCGGCUAACUACGUGCCAGCAGCCGCCGUAACAC